rnacentral:misc_RNA from 1 species
GAUGAAGAACGCAGCGAAAUGCGAUAAGUAGUGUGAAUUGCAGAAUUCAGUGAAUCAUCGAAUCUUUGAACGCACAUUGCGCCCGCCAGUAUUCUGGCGGGCAUGCCUGUUCGAGCGUCAUUUCAACCAUCAAGCCCCUGGCUUGUGUUGGGGACCUGCGGCUGCCGCAGGCCCUGAAAACCAGUGGCGGGCUCGCUGUCACACCGGGCGUAGUAGAUUAUAUCUCGCUCAGGGCGUGCUGCGGGUUCCGGCCGUUAAAAAGCCUUAUUUACCCAAGGUUGACCUCGGAUCAGGUAGGAAUACCCGCUGAACUUAAGCAUAUCAAUAAGCGGAGGA